UGCAUUAAAACGAGAGGGAACUACUUACUAACAUACUUCGAUUUUUCAUCCUUCGUAGUUUGACACUUGACCUUUGUAGUUAGACUGACCAUAAAUGACUACUAUUAAAGCAUGUUUUUCUUAUACUAACGGGGAAACUUCGAAGUCCUAUAUCAUGUAGACAUGUAUGUUUUCUGAACAAAUGGUACUAGUCAAAUUUUUUAUUACGGUCCUGUCGUUCCGCCUAUAAUCAAAGAGUUGCGGCGUCUUUAUGAUAUGAUAGGACUCUGCAAGGGUCCUGUCAUUUAUAUAGUCCUAUAACUAUUAUUAGUAUACAGGGUGUUCAUUUGAAAACCACUGUUUAAAAAAAAAACGCCGAAAUACGUCAAAAGGUUUGUCAAGGGGGACAACUUUUUUAUUUUUUCAUAAUUUUAUGACCUUGUAGUGUAUGACAUUUAGAACAUAAUGUUCCUAGGAGCUUUUUUGCUUCAUUUCGUCCAAGAAACACGCCUCAGAAUUUUGUUGCAAUAUUAAAAAACACCCUGUAUACUAUAUAAGUCAUUCGUUGUACAUGCUGAAGGGUACAUGAAUAAGUCCAGUAAAAAUGUAAUUUUGUGUCUAUUGAUAAUGUACUGAGAAUAUUCGAAUUUUAUAAACACUAUGAAAAAAUUCAAAUGCCUGGAAAGAAUAAAUAAUUUCUGGAAUACAUGUAAAACUUACCUAAUCUAAGUUGCAAUGAAAAUUACUUUGAGUGUAAUAACUUUUUGUAAAACCACUUCAAAUUUAAUGAGAAAUGACUUCAAUGAAUGUCUGCAAGUCAUUUCUCUUUAGUCUAAGUCAUUUAGGAAAUAACUUUAAGAACCCAAUGCUUGUACCACAAAAAUCCAGGAAAAAAUUUGAAUGUAAGGAAUGGAACUGAAAAUGAUUCCAAAUGUUUGGAACAUUUAAGAAAUCGCUUUAGUAAAAGUCCAAAGAAAUAAGAGGUGGUUCAGAAAUGCCUGGAAUGAACCUGAAAAUUAAUACAGAAGUUAACAAAACCCAUAAAAGCCGAUUUCUGUUAAAAUUUCCUUCUGAUUUUUGUAAAGUCAUCAAGGUACAGAAGCACUUCCAGGAGAAAUACCGAGUUUAACAAGGAUAACACUCACCUAUGUAUCUGCUGUAAAAAACAGGAUUAAAGAGUUAUCCAGAGAUUGGUGUGUUCACCUGUAUCUUAUUCUAGAUCUCAACAGUUAAAUUUUUUGCUGAUCAUAGUAAACUAUAUACAAAUCCUCUUACUUAUGCAGAACAGGUAAAAAUGGAUCGUCAGAAGACAGUAGAAGCACGUUUAGAGAUAUGGGGAAUGAGUCCAAAUUUAUAGUACUUACAAUCAGAACAAACAACCCAAGCAGAAAAUCCAGGAUAAAUAGUAUAACCGUGGCAGCUGUCUCUGAUCUAGGAGGGACACAUACAGCUGAUUUGGCAUGGGACAAUCAUAUUGUUAAAAUUGCAAAAAAAAGCCAAGUCUUUUAUUCACCUCAUAAAACAAGCACUUAAAGGCCGCUCAAAGAAAAUGACAAGACCAAAUCAGUAAGUAAUUCAUAUUAUAUCAAAGAUAGAGAAACAUUAGAAAGGGUACAAAGAAGGGUAACAACAAUCUAAAAAUUAAAAGACCUUCCUUACCCUGCAGAGAUUGCAGCUAUCAAAUUGCAAAGAGAGAAUACUUAUCAGAGCAAAAUCUUGAACGGACAUUAUAAUUGUCAAAUUUCAAAUGUCCUGCAUCAGAAUCAAUGAAUUAAAAACCAUGAAACAAACUGCAUUGGGUUCAAAAAAGCAUGCUCAAAAAAUGUUAUUAAGAUUUCAAAACAGUACAAGCAUUGGUUAUGGUAUUAUCGAGAUUUUUUUAUAGGUGUGUCCAAUGUGCAAGUUUAAUGUUCAAAGUGACCACCCACUUCAAGAUCCAAAAUCUUACAAAGUAGUGGGAAUAUUUUCAUAAAACAAACAGCAUUGGGUUUAGAAAAGGAUUCUCAAAAAAAUAGUAGUUAGGUUUCAAAGUAGUGCAAGCACUGGUUCUGGUAUUAUCGCGCUUUUUGGGCAGGUGUGUCCAACAUGCAGGUUUGAUUUUAAGGCGACCACUCACUUCAAGGUCCAAAAGCACAAAAACUAGUGGGAGUCUUUUGAUUAAAUAAACAACAAAGGAUUCAGAGAAGCAUGCUCAAAAAAUGUUAUUAAUAGUUCGAAGCAGUCCAAGCAUUAGUUUUGAAAUUAUUAAGCUUCUUGUGUAGGUACGUCCAACGUGCAUGUUUGAUGUUCAAAGUGACCACCCAAUUCAAGAACCAAAAUCUGAAAAAGUAGUGGGAAUAUUUUCAUAAAACACACAGCAUUGGGUUCAGAUAAGCAUGCUCAAAAAACGUUAUUAAGGUCUUAAAGCAGUACAAGCAUUGGUUUAGGUAUUAUCGAGCUUUCUGGACAGGUGUGUCCAAUGUGCAGUUUUGAUCUUCAUUGUGACCACCCACUUCAAGAUCCAAAAUCUUAAAAAGUAGUGGGAAUAUUUUCAUAAAACAAACAGCAUUGGGUUUAGAAAAGCAUUCUUAAAACUAUAAUAUUCAGGUUUUAAAGUAGUGCAAGCACUAGUUCUGGUGUUAUCGCGCUUUUUGGGCAGGUGUGUCCAACAUGCAGGUUUGAUUUUAAGGUGACCACUCACCUCAAGGUCCAAAAGCACAAAAACUAGUGGGAGUCUUUUCAUUAAAUAAACAACAAAGGAUUCAGAGAAUCAUGCUCAAAAAAUGUUAUUAAUAGUUCGAAGCAGUCCAAGCAUUAGUUUUGAAAUUAUUAAGCCUCUUGUGUAGGUACGUCCAACGUGCAGGUUUGAUGUUCAAAGUGACCACCCAUUUCAACAACCAAAAUCUUAAAAAGUAGUGGGAAUAUUUUUAUAAAACAAACAGCAUUGGGUUCAGAUAAGCAUGCUCAAAAAUGUUAUUAGGGGUUUAAAGCAGUACAAGCAUUGGUUUAGGUAUUAUGGAGCUUUCUGGACAGGUGCGUCCAAUGUGCAGGUUUGAUCUUCAUUGUGACCACCCACUUCAAGAUCCAAAAUCUUACAAAGUAGUGGGAAUAUUUUCAUAAAACAAACAGCAUUGGGUUUAGAAAAGCAUUCUUAAAAAAGUAAUAUUCAGGUUUCGAAGUUGUGCAAGCACUCGUUCUGGUAUUAUCGCGCUUUUUGGGCAGGUGUGUCCAACAUGCAGGUUUGAUUUUAAGGCGACCACUCACUUCAAGGUCCAAAAGCACAAAAACUAGUGGGAGUUUUUUCAUUAAAUAAACAACAAAGGAUUCAGAGAAUCAUGCUCAAAAAAUGUUAUUAAUAGUUCGAAGCAGUCCAAGCAUUAGUUUUGAAAUUAUUAAGCCUCUUGUGUAGGUACGUCCAACGUGCAGGUUUGAUGUUCAAAGUGACCACCCAUUUCAACAACCAAAAUCUUAAAAAGUAGUGGGAAUAUUUUUAUAAAACAAACAGCAUUGGGUUCAGAUAAGCAUGCUCAAAAAUGUUAUUAGGGGUUUAAAGCAGUACAAGCAUUGGUUUAGGUAUUAUGGAGCUUUCUGGACAGGUGUGUCCAAUGUGCAGGUUUGAUCUUCAUUGUGACCACUCACUUUAAAGCCCAAAAUCUCAAAAAUUAGUGGGAGUAUUCUCAUAAAACGAACAACAAAGGGUCCUGGAGAUUUGGAAUUACUCGCAGUCCAAGAAGUUUUGGUGACAAAGUUAUUGGAGUGGUCCUAUUUUCAUUGCCUUUAUUAGGUUAUGUUGUCACACAAAACCCAUCAGGAUUCCCUCUGCAUUAUACUUCGUCCCUUAUUAUUUGAAAAAACUUAGGAAUAAAGGGAUUGGGUGUGAAUGGACCGAUUUCUAACUGGAUGUGCCAUCCCUUGACUUCUUCUGUGAGGAAGCAGUUCCCUAUCGAUUUGCUCAAUGUCCAAAGCGAGUUAAUUAAAGUGAAGCAAAUUGUCUUAUAUAAUAUGCAUUGGGGAGUUUAUGCCUUGACUGUAAAUAUUUUUAUAUAUUCGUGUGUAAUGCGUUUCAAGUGUACAUGUUCCGCGACCACAGAAAUUCUUCUCCCACGACUCAAGCAAUUAAAAAUGAAUGUUGUUCAAUUAGCCCCAAAACAAGCUGAACAUAAACCUAAAAAAAUAUAUAUGCAACAUUUGUUGCACUAAUAAUAUUUAAAGCUAUUAGUCGUCAACGUCUUCACUUAAGUAUACUAUCUAAAAUAGUUUCUCUUCUC